rnacentral:rRNA from 1 species
AACGAACGCUGGCGGCAUGCCUAACACAUGCAAGUCGAACGAGACCUUCGGGUCUAGUGGCGCACGGGUGCGUAACGCGUGGGAACCUGCCCUUAGGUUCGGAAUAACUCCCCGAAAGGGGUGCUAAUACCGGAUAAUGUCUUCGGACCAAAGAUUUAUCGCCUUUGGAUGGGCCCGCGUUGGAUUAGCUAGUUGGUAGGGUAAAAGCCUACCAAGGCGACGAUCCAUAGCUGGUCGGAGAGGAUGAUCAGCCACACUGGGACUGAGACACGGCCCAGACUCGUACGGGAGGCAGCAGUGGGGAAUAUUGGACAAUGGGCGAAAGCCUGAUCCAGCAAUGCCGCGUGAGUGAUGAAGGCCUUAGGGUUGUAAAGCUCUUUUACCCGGGAUGAUAAUGACAGUACCGGGAGAAUAAGCUCCGGCUAACUCCGUG